UUGAGGUGAAUUUUAUAUAUAGGGAACCAAAAUUCCUUUUUCUCUUCGUAUAUUCAUUGCAUGUCUUAUAUUAAUUAGAUCUAUAGUAAUUUUUUUCUACAUGCUCAACGGACUUAUAUGGAGGAUCAAUUGGUGUAGUAACUGAUUACUAAAAGCAUCUACAUCAGAUUGUUUGAGCUCGGAUGCAAGAUUUUGGACGAAACGACGUUUGAUUUUGUACGAGCAUGAGCCGCAAGAAAGGUACAGACGCCGGUGAUCCACCACUGUAGGCUCCACGUCCUGCUAUUACAGAGUGCUCAUUUUGAUUCGGAGCCCAUAUAUCGGCAGAUAUCUUUUGGGAUGUGUAUGUAUCUGUAUAUUCGACUAUUUGGGGUACGGCGGGGCCCUGUCCCGUCAUAUGUUUUCGUUUUGUAUAUGUAGAGGCCUGUAGUCAUAUAUGUGGGUCGAGGGUCCUAUAUGUGUCUGUUUGAUUACGAUCUGUGUCUUAAUGCGGUCCGUCUGUUAUGGUGGCCAAAAUGGCCCUUAUGUUUAUAUUUGUACACAUGGUCGGCGAUGUGCAUUCCGCCGCUUCUAUCUGUUCCGUUAUGAUAU